GAUCAUUUUUGAAAUUGGAGUUGUAUACGUCUUCUUUGUAUUUGUAUUUCACCACCUUUGUAAGCCAAUGAGAUUUCAGUGUUAUUCUUCUUAACGACUACGUGUUAUGGUCUGCUCCUGUAGAAUUUCAUGAUGAAGAAAGAUGAAGAGAAGAAUGAAUCUGAGAGAAGAAUGUUUUCCAUUAAUUCUCACAAAUGAAAGAGAUACAAUCUAUAUACAGAAUGGAAAGCUAUUACAGAGCACACACAAACUUAGCUAACUUCUAACUACCAAAUUAAUUAAAUUACAAUGUUAUCCCUGUUUAUGUAAAAAUGACGAAACUACCCUUGUGAUCAUUUAGAAGUAUUAUGCUGACACCCCCCUCAAGCUGGUGGAUAUGAGGAGAAACCAAGCUUGGAAACUGCAUCUUUAUGAUUAAUACCACUUAAAUUCUUCGUGAAUACAUCUGCUAAUUGAUCUUUGGUAUUAAUGUGAGAUAAACUGAUUAAGCUAUCCUGUAACUUCUCUCGAACAUAAUGACAAUCUAUCUCAAUAUGCUUGGUACGUUCAUGGAAGACAGGAUUGGUUGCAAUGUAAAUUGCAGAAAGAUUGUCACAUUUUAAUGGAAUGGGUGUCAAAUUUUCUACUUGAAGUUCCUCAAAUAAUCGACUGAUCCAUGCUAAUUCAGUACAAACUCUACGCAUUGAUCUGUACUCUGCUUCAGAUGAAGAAAGUGACACAGUAAGUUGCUUCUUUGAUUUCCAAGAAAUAGGAGUACCACCAAAAAGUAUAAAGAAGCCACUGACUGAUCUUCGUGUAAUGGGACAUGCAGCCCAAUCUGAAUCACAAAAAGCUUCGAGCUUGAUAGAUGAAUUGUUAUUGAAAUGCAAACCUUGAGAAAUUGUCCCCUUCAAGUAUUGUAAUACAUGAAUAGUUGCAUCAUAAUGAGAUUGAGAUGGUGUUUGAUUAAAUUGACUCAAAUGUUGAAUUGAGAAAGCCAAAUCGGGUCUGGUAUGCAUUAGGAAGUUCAAUUUUCCAAUUAAUUGCCUGUAGAGUGUAGGAUCUACUAAAGGAUUCUCCAUUUUAUGAACCAAUUGGAGCUUUGCUGGCAAAGGCAUAGUUGUAGUGGGCAGAUCCAUGAUUGAAUAAGUCUGUAAAAGAUCUUUGAUAAACUUUUGUUGAUGAACAAUGUAUCCCGUAUCAAUCUUGUUGAAUUCCAAUCCAAGGAAGUAAUGUAUUUGUCCCAAAUCCUUUAUUUUGAAUUGGUCAUGCAAAGAGUUUUUGAUGUUCAAAAUUUCUGUUGGAUCAUUUCCAGUUACAAGAAGAUCAUCAACAUAUAUAGCAAUAAUAACCAUUGAAGUAGAAGAUUUCUUGAUGAAUAAUGAAUAACCAUUAGCUGAUCUGGAAUAUCCUUUUGUGAUAAGAGUUUUAGACAAUUUAUCAUACCAUUGUCGAGAUGCUUGCUUUAAACCAUAUAAAGAUUUUUUGAGCUUGCAAACAACUGAGAAGAGACUUUAUAACCAGGUGGAAGUCUCAUGUAUACUUCCUCAUGUGAAUCACCAUGCAAGAAUGCAUUAUUACAUCAAAUUGAUGAAUAUCCCACCCUCUUUUUACAGCCAAAGCAACUAAACAUCUGAUUGUAUUAAAUUUGACAAUAGGUGAAAAUUCUUCACCAUUGAAUUUUAUAAAGUAGGUUGAGAAUUCAUCAGAAUUUUGAGAAAUCGAAUACAAAUGGUGUUGAAUUUGAUAAAUGAGAGCACCGUUUGAUUGUUCAUACCUCUGAUGUAACUCAGACCAAAUUUCUUUCGCAGUUGGGAGAAAUAGAACGCUCUCUGCGAUUUCCUUGUGAAGAGAGUUAAGAAGCCAGCUUAUCACCAUUGAAUUAACACGAGACCACUUUGGAAACAUUGGGGAAUUUUCUAAUGGUGGUGGUGUUGGAAAUUUAUAUAUAAAGGAAUUGCAAGUUGGCAAUUUCCUUUGUAUCCCACAUUGGUGGAGAGAAGAAACUUUUGAGGGUUUAUAAGCCUAUUCCUUUGGUAAGCCUUCAAAGGCUUUAGUGGAUCAAAGGAUUGGGCCAAGCCCACGCGCGCGCCUAGCCUAGCCUAGCACUAGCCGACGCCGCGAGUGCGCGAAAUGGCGCGAUUUAGGCGCACGACGCAUCGGUCGCUGGGAGUUGAGGAGCUUUUGUUUUUGGUGAGUUCGGGUCAAGCCAGUUGACCGACGUUGACUUCGUGAAGGAUAAGUCAUCGGGGCAUUCUAGAAGGAUCAGGAAAUGGCUUGCUUAGAGAGCAAGUCGUCGCCCUAGGGUUUCUGGGAGUUGAGGAGCUUUUGUUUUUGGUGAGUUCGGGUCAAGCCGGUUGACCGACGUUGACUUCGUGAAGCAUAAGUCAUCGGGGCAUUCUAGAAGGAUCAGGAAAUGGCUUGCUUAGAGAGCAAGUCGUCGCCCUAGGGUUUCUGGGGCCGGCCUGUGGGGGCCCGUUUUAUGCCUUCUAGGGUUUCGAUACCUAUAAAUAUAGCCCCCUAGGAGCCAUUCAGAACACACACGAAUUCUCAAAGCUCUCUCCCUCUCUCUGCGUUUUUUUCUUCUAGUUUCCGAGUAGUCGCUUUGUGUUUGUCGAUUUCCAGUGUUGUUGGAAUAUCGAUCUAGCUGCAUUAAAUCCUGGGGUUUUACUCUGUUGCUUACAACCUAUACAAGCGAAGUAAAAACCUUUAAGGACAAGAAUCUGAUCCGUGCAGUUGCUUCAAGAUCAAGUCAGCUAUCAACAGGUCGGUUUUACUUUUCUGUCUUGUGUUUAAUUCGUCCAAUAACAGGACAGUCUUCUUCUACCUUUCUUAUAAUCAGAUAUAGUCGAGAAGGAUAGAUCUGGUUUCUGGACGAAACUUGGUAAAUUUAAUAAUAAUAAUUGAAUUUAUUAUUCGCAACUAAUCGACAUAUAAUUCACAAUAUUAUUUGUCGGUUUCCUUGCGUGUCUUUUAGUUUGAUAUACAACAAUCUUAAAGUUUUUUUACUUGUGAUAAAUCAACAGACUAAUGGACACUACUGCUAUCCUCCACUUCAUGAACCAAGAGUUUGCCAAACUUGACCAAUUCGAUGGUCAGAACUACACCCGUUGGGCCGAAAAGGUCAAGUUCAUGCUUCAUGUCUUGAAGCUCUCCUUUGUGUUGGACCCAAAACUGGCACCAAUUCCUGAAAAUCCAAUUCCCAAGGAGGGGGAAUCUGUGGACCCAGCGGUCAUUGCAAAACUGGAAAAGUAAAGGAUUUUGCGUAGAGAAUCCAAGGAAUUGUGAGUGGGUCACAUCAAGAAUUCCCUAUCUGAUCGGCUCUAUGAUCUUUACUCACCGGUCAAAGAUCCAAAAGAGCUAUGGAAUGCGUUGGAACUUAAGUACAAGGCACAUGAGGAAGGUACUAACAAGUACCUUGUGUCCAAGUACCUUGAGUUUCAAAUGGUUGAUGACAAAUCGAUUAUGGAGCAAGUGCAUGAACUCCAAGUCAUGGUCAACAAGUUGAACGCACUCACCAUCUCUCUUCCAGAACUCUUUCAGGUUGGUGCGAUCAUCGCAAAACUGCCACCCUCGUGGAAAGAUUUCUCUAAGAGAAUGAUGCACAAGUCUGAGGACUACUCCUUGGAUGAUCUGAUGAAACACCUCCGCAUUGAGGAGGAAACUCGCAUCAGGGACAAGAAAGGUAAAGUUGGACAAAGUGUGCAUCAAGUGUCAGCUGGGAGUUCUAGCCACAAAGGCAAAUCUGGGGGACAGAACAAGAAGAACUUUGGACCCAAGAAACAAAGCUUCAAGAAACCGGGUCAUCAGAAUCCUAACUCAAAGCCAAAAAGGGUCGGUCCUUGCCACGUCUGCGGAGAGAUUGGGCACUAUGCAAGAGAAUGCAAAGAUCGCAAAUCAGUACCGGUUGCACACGCAGUCGAGAAGGUGACUGACAUGGUGGCCAGUGUGAACCUUGGAGAGAUUUUCAUGAUCUCCUCUCUUACUCGAGCAAUCUGUGCUCGAGGUUGGUUCGUGGACACCGGAGCCACUGUGCAUGUUUGUGGUCAUCGAGAAAGCUUUAGCACCUACCACCCCAUGCCACAAGGGACGGUUGUUGUCUGUGCUGACGGCCACAGAGCUGAAGUUCUAGGAAAGGGUGAUGUUCGGUUGAAGUUCACACGUGGUGAAUGGGUGACUCUUCGAGAUGUUCUUCAUGUUCCUACCAUCUCGAAGGGUUUGGUUUCUGCGGACAAGUUUGACAAGGGUGGGUUCAAGAUGGUGCUUGAGAGAGGCAAAAUUGUGAUCACUAAAGGCAGAAGACAUGUUGGGAGGGCGAACAAUACUUCGGGAAUGUAUCGCUUGUGUCUUAGUGAUGAGGGUAAUGUGAGUGGUCCUAGUGUUGAGUGUGGUGUUUCUAGUGUUGCUAGUGUGUCGAGUGUUGGUAAUGAUGUAAUUGAUGGAUUGGUUGCUAAUGUGAAUGAAGUGAACUUUUCUGGUUAUAUUGUUUGUUCAAUUUCUUUAUGGCAUAAACGUUUAGCUCACACUAAUGUUAAAAACAUUGAAAAAAUGCAAACUAAAGGUAUGUUAAAAUAUGACUCAAAAGAUUUUGAAAAAUGUGAAACAUGUGUAAAAUCAAAGUUCACUAAGAAACCAUUUCCAUCAGUUAAGAGAAACACAUCUUUACUUGAGUUGAUUCAUUCUGAUAUAUGUGAGUUAAAUGGAAUCCUUACUCGAGGAGGAAAAAGGUAUUUCAUCACAUUUUGUGAUGACUUCAGUAGAUAUCUACAUGUUUAUUUGCUGAGAUCAAAAGAUGAAGCUUUUGAUGCAUUUAAACGAUAUAAGGCUGAGGUCGAAAAUCAACUUGAAAGACACAUCAAAAUUCUUCGCUCGGACAGAGGCGGAGAAUAUUUCAACCAAGAGUUUGACACAUUCUGCGAAGAGAAUGGAAUCAAACAUGAGAGAACAUCACCAUACACCCCUCAACAGAAUGGUUUGGCUGAAAGAAAGAACCGAACUCUUUGUGAGAUGGUCAACUGUAUGUUGAACCAAUCGGGUCAACCAAACAAUCUGUGGGGGGAAGCACUAUUAACUGCUUGUUAUGUUCAUAACAGGAUCACUAGUCGUGUGAUUCCUACAAGCCCUUAUGAGUUGUGGAAAGGUAGAAAGCCUAACCUAGACUAUUUGAAAGUGUGGGGGUGUGUUGCUUAUUAUCGGACUCCCGAUCCUAAGCGAACCAAAUUGGGAGCACGAGCUAAUAAGAGUAUAUUUAUUGGAUAUGCUCAAAAUAGCAAGGCUUACCGAUUACUAGAUAUUGAUUCUGGUGUUGUUGUGGAAUCCAGAGAUGUGGAAUUCUUUGAGGACAAGUUUUCUAAGGAUGAAGAAAACUCUAGUCAUACAACACCUACAAGUACCUCUCGAGAAAUACUCCCACCUCCUCCCAUUGUGGAGGAACCAAGGAGAAGUACUAGGGCUAGAAUUGAGAAAACCUUUGGAGAUGAUUUCUAUUCUUAUUUGGUCGAAGGAACACAAAAGAAAGUGACGAGAGAGGUCAUCUUUUCAAUUAAUUUGGAUGAUGAUCCUAAGACCUUUACUGAAGCCAUGACGUCUCGGGAUGCUCCUCUGUGGAAGGAAGCAAUCAAUGACGAAAUGGAUUCAAUUAUGGGUAAUGGAACUUGGGAGUUAGCUGAUCUACCCAAGGGGAGAAGACCCAUAGGAUCCAAAUGGAUAUUCAAGAAGAAAUAUCAUCCUGAUGGAUCCAUAUCUGCUUAUAAAGCAAGGUUGGUUGCAAAGGGCUAUAGGCAGCGAGAAGGGAUCGAUUAUUUUGAUACCUAUGCCCCAGUUGCUAGAAUUAGUUCAAUUAGAACUCUCAUAGCAAUAUCAGCUUUGAAGGGAUUGUACAUUCAUCAAAUGGAUGUGAAGACAGCCUUUCUGAAUGGUUAUCUCAAAGAGGAGAUUUACCUGGAGCAACCUGAAGGUUUCGUAAUACCUGGACAAGAAAACAAAGUAUGUAGACUUGUUAAGUCUUUGUACGGGUUGAAACAAGCUCCUAAACAGUGGCAUGAGAGAUUUGACACCACUGUGACUGCCUUUGGUUUUCAGCACAAUAGUGCUGACAGAUGUAUUUAUUCUAAACAUACAUCUGAUUACAUAGUAGUUAUAUGUCUUUAUGUUGAUGAUAUGUUGAUCAUUGGCACUCACCUAGAAGGUAUUCUUGAGACGAAGAAAUACCUAUCCUCGAACUUUAAGAUGAAAGAUCUUGGAGAAGUAGAUACUAUUCUUGGUAUCAAGGUGAAGAGGACAGGUGGUCAGAUUUCUCUGAGUCAAUCUCAUUACAUAGAGAAAAUUCUGACAAAGUUUCAACAUUUGAACAUUAAGGAAUUUAACACUCCUUUUGAUUCAAGUGUGAAACUUAAGGUGAAUUCUGGUCGAGAUGUGGCCCAACUAGAAUAUGCUAGUGCAGUUGGGAGCAUGAUGUAUCCUACUCACUGCACUCGACCUGACAUCGCAUUCGCUGUAAGCAAGUUGAGUCAGUAUACAGUUAAUCCAGGGACGGAGCACUGGAAAGCAGUGGGUAGAGGACUAGGAUACCUGAAAAGGACAAGUACUUUUGAAUUGACAUAUUCGUCAUCUAAUGGAAUACUUGAAGGUUAUUCUGAUGCCAGCUGGAUUGAUCACACCAGUGAUUCAAAAUCCACAAGUGGUUGGAUUUAUACUCUAGCUGGUGGUGCUAUUUCUUGGGCGAGCAAGAAACAGACAUGCAUAGCUUAUUCAACGAUGGAAACUGAGCUAAUUGCCUUAGCAGCAACAGGCAAAGAGGCAGAGUUGAUUCGAGAUCUACUUAUGGAUAUGCGUUUGUGGGAUAUUCCGAUGCCUUCAAUACCCAUGUACUGUGACAGUGAGGCCACACUCUCUAAAGUAUAUAAUGUGGUAUAUAAUGGGAAGUCAAGACAUGUAGGUCUGCGUCACAAUUUUGUGAGACAACUAACUGAAAAGUGGUACCAUCAAGGUUGUCUAUGUCAAGACAAGUAGGAACUUGGCAGAUCCGUUUACCAAACCUCUGACGAGAGAUAUGGUUACAUCUACCACGAGAGUCAUGGGUGUAAAACCACAAUAGAAUCGUUUAGUGAUGGAAACCCAACUUGACAUUAGUGCUCCUAAUUUUCAAGUUUAAAGGGUAACAACGAAAUCACUAACGAUAGAAGGUACUAUCAUUCAUGAUAGAUCCAUGUGAGGUAGGAUAGUGCGUCGUUGCCGAGAAUGAGGUUGAGUUACGACUCUUAACGUAGUUUUGGAGACAUCUAAGCAACGAAGAUGUUGUAAAACUAUGCCUAUAUGAUCUAGAGGUGGUGCCGCCUCAAGUGAAGAUUAGUGGUUUAUCUUCUAAAGGGUCAUGAAAAGGAUUUAUAGCGCAUGGCCAUAAUAGCGCUCAGGGAGAACACAAAUAUGACUUGUGGUGUGUGGGGGUAAACCGGAGAGGUCAUUGAGGUUCAUGGUUUAAACCUAUAAGGAUACCAUUGAAUCGGUCUCUUCUUGUUUGUUCUCAUUAAACUAGGGUUUAAUCUUCGUGACACCCGAGUGACAUCAUCUGUCUGAGUGAAAGGAAACUUACCAACUUGGUGGGGGAUUGUUGGAAUUUUAUAUAUAAAGGAAUUGCAAGUUGGCAAUUUCCUUUGUAUCCCACAUUGGUGGAGAGAAGAAACUUUUGAGGGUUUAUAAGCCUAUUCCCUUGGUAAGCCUUCAAAGGCUUUAGUGGAUCAAAGGAUUGGGCCAAGCCCACGCGCGCGCCUAGCCUAGCCUAGCACUAGCCGACGCCGGGAGUGCGCGAAAUGGCGUGAUUUAGGCGCACGACGCAUCGGUCGCUGGGAGUUGAGGAGCUUUUGUUUUUGGUGAGUUCGGGUCAAGCCGGUUGACCGACGUUGACUUCAUGAAGGAUAAGUCAUCGGGGCAUAUGGCUUGCUUAGAGAGCAAGUCGUCGCCCUAGGGUUUCUAGGGCCGGCCUGCAUCGGUCGCUGGGAGCUGAGGAGCUUUUGUUUUUGAUGAGUUCGGUCAAAUGGUUGACCGACAUUGACUUCGUGAAGGAUAAGUCAUCGGGGCAUAUGGCUUGCUUAGAGAGCAAGUCGUCGCCCUAGGGUUUCUGGGGCCGGCCUGUGGGGGCCCGUUUUAUGCCUUUUAGGGUUUCGAUACCUAUAAAUAUAGCCCCCUAGGAGCCAUUCAGAACACACACGAAUUCUCAAAGCUCUUUCCCUCUCUCUGCGUUUUUUUCUUCUAGUUUCCGAGUAGUCGCUUUGUGUUUGUCGAUUUCCAGUGCUGUUGGAAUAUCGAUCUAGCUGCAUUAAAUCCUGGGGUUUUACUCUGUUGCUUACAGCCUAUACAAGCGAAGUAAAAACCUUUAAGGACAGGAAUCUGAUCCGUGCAGUUGCUUCAAGAUCAAGUCAGCUAUCAACAGGUCGGUUUUACUUUUCUGUCUUGUGUUUAAUUCGUCCAAUAACAUGACAGUCUUCUUCUACCUUUCUUAUAAUCAGAUCUAGUCGAGAAGGAUAGAUCUGGUUUCUGGACGAAACUUGGUAAAUUUAAUAAUAAUAAUUGAAUUUAUUAUUCGCAACUAAUCGACAUAUAAUUCACAAUAUUAUUUGUCGGUUUCCUUGCGUGUCUUUUAGUUUGAUAUACAACAGGUGGAAGAGAUCCAUCAACAAAUUGAAGCUUAUUCUUUGCUGAUAGAGACAAAAUCAUGGAUCGUUUCCAAGUAGCAAAUCCAACUCCAGUGAAAACGGUAGAAACAAGAAUUGCACUAGGAUUAUCUGAAGAACCAAGGUAAUAAGGACUAGAAAUGUCGAUUGUUGAAGAUUCAAUCGGAAUCUGUGGUGCAGCCACUGUAAAAAAAAUGAUCGAAAAAUAAAGAUUGAAAUGAUUUACGGAAGACGUUCACAAGAUCAAGCUGAUACCAUGUAGAAUUUCAUGAUGAAGAAAGAUGUUUUCCAUUAAUUCUCACAAAUGAAAGAGAUACAAUCUAUAUACAGAAUGGAAAGCUAUUACAGAGCACAAACAAACUUAGCUAACUUCUAACUACCAAAUUAAUUAAAUUACAAUGUUAUCCCUAUUUAUGUAAAAAUGAUGAAACUACCCUUGUGAUCAUUUAGAAGUAUUAUGCUGACAGCUCCCCUACCUCUUUUUAUGUAUUUCUUCAUCCGAGAUCACUGCUUCUCCUUUGCUUGGGUUAGUCCACCGCCUCAACUACCACCGACUCUUCCACUAAGACGAACCUUGAACCCACAAAAAAAUCUCACCGGUGCUCCCUCUUCUUCUUCCACCCCAUUGCCUUGCUCUCUCGCCAAAGAUCGUAUGAUCGAGUAGCAACGAAAGAUGCUACUGAAGAGCUGGUGACGUCGACGAAAAACCUUCUCCUUUUCUACAUGGAUUGAAGCUUCCAUCUUCGAUUGGAGAACAUUCGGCGCCUUCGUUUCUGUUUCAGCUUAGAAAAUCGAUUCCCCUCCUCCUCCGUUGUUUUACUAUUCCAGGUUUGGUGUUCGCCAUCUACCUUUUUUUUCCUGUUUCCGUGUACUGCCAUCUGUUGGGAAUGGAAGAAAGAAGCAUGUGUAUAUGCCUUUGACUCAACCGCCAUCUGGCAAACGGAUUUACAGACCCAAUUCUUAUCCAGGUAUUAGUCGCCCUAGAAAAGAUGUAUAUGCCUGAAUUAGCCUACUGAUUUAGAGACCAAUUCUUAUCCUCACUUUACAGUUCCAUGUUUACUUUAGCCAUAUAAGGGAUAUGCUUUUCAACCCAUGUCUUUUAAUUAUGUAUGAUUCACAAAGUGCAUAUUGUCAUUAAAGAACUUAUUGUGAUUUUGGUGUGGAUGCGAGGUGGUAAUGGAGGCGGGUGAAUGAUGGCUUGAUUGGAGAAAUAAGGGAGGUGGUUGACGGUUGUUUUAAGUGGGAAUGGUGGAGAAGUGGUGGUCAGGAGUGGGGGUGAGGAUGGAUUAACGUGUUGUUUUCAUUGAAGGAUGUUCAUCAAGGUUAUUUUAACUUUACCUUGGUAAUUCAUGAAGCUAUUCCGAUUCCCAGGUGACGAUUGUUCAUCCCUCUUUCUAUAUGCUUUCAAUUUCAUGUUUGUUUAAGUGUGUUCUUAAUUUUAAUUUAUUUGUUCGAAUAUAAGAAUGGGCAAGUAGAAUGAAGCUUAACGAUAGACUUUACUUGCUCAGGUAUUAGCCGCCAAAUAUUAGUAAUGUAACAACUCUGAAGUAAGAAUUCCUUUUCAGCAUAUCUUGGCACACAAUCAACACCUAGACAAUCAGCAGCUUCUUGAACCUUCAAUCACGUGCAUUCUCCCAUUUAGAUUAAUUAGAGAAAAAGACAAAAAUGCCCCUAAAAAAACUUGAGACUUACACGAGCGAUUGCAUUAGCAGUUUCAGUUGGUGCUAUUCUAGGGCUGCUCACUAUUGAUUUCACCUUCAAAUCAAAUUACAAAAAAAAAAAAACUGUAUAGUUCCAAGCAUGUCCAUAGGCAUGUUACUGUUAUCAGAUUCAGAAUCACUACCCUGUUAAAAAAAUCUCAAGAAAACCAAAUUAGGGAAAUUAAGAAAACAAACAAUUUUUUUUUUCACAUACUGGUUUAUUUAUUAAUAUCACCUCAGGGUUUCCAUGGCAGACAAGUACAAUCCGUUUACUAGCUUUCCUCCCUGCAGAGCUUCCAGAAGCAAUAGGGGAGCUUGGAGUUUGAUUUAAUCUGGUAAGACAUAUAUAUGGAGAUCCACCUUCAGGUUGUGGGACAAAAUCUAGCACACUUACACCACAGUUGCUUUGAAGUAAAAUACAUUGAAUCAACAUCAGGUAUGACGUUAACAGACUUCUAUUUUAAAAUGAAUCUAGAAAUCCAAAAGUUUUUUAUUUUCAUUUCAUGGAUUAUAUCUUUUCCGUCUCUAUUGCAUCUUUGAUUGAUUAAACCUAUUUCUAAUAAGGACCUUUUUUUUGCCUACUACCUGUUUGAUAAAAUGCCACAAUUAAUGAAAAAAUAAAGAUCCAAAGGUUAGCAGGUGGAGGAUAAAAUUAUGCAGCAUUUGUACGAGAUAUUGGUGUUCUAUCAGCAGAUACAUAUCUUUUGGAGGAGGUAAAUUAAAUUAUAUAUUUUUUUGGUCAACAUGUGGUCAAAGGAAACAUUUUCAGUUUGAUGAAAAGUGAAAACUACUUGAAUGGUUGUCGUAUGAUUUUUUUAAUAGUAUUUAUGAAUGUUGAGGAGGGUUUUAACAAAUUGUUGAUGUUUAAUUAAUUAUUUCUCGAAUUAAUUGACUGUUGCAUUGAUUUCCUAUCUUCAUCUUAAAACAGUUUUAUGUUAUAACUUCCAUACAAAUUAUGUAUGAUAUGUUUUGUUGAUAAUAUUGUUCUUUGUUUACUAUAUUACAGAAAGAAGUUGUUCAACUUACUUGCGAGUGUGAAAGACAUUUUGGGACACAAUCUGGUGGAAUGGAUCAGGUAUAUACAUAUAAUAUUUCUCAUAAACCAAUGAACUUUUCGAGUAAUUACAUUUUGUGCUUAAAUGCAAAAAAUUAACAUCAUACUUUCCUUUAUAAUAAAUGAAAGUGGAAUGGUAUAAUGAACGCAUAGGAAGUAACUUGAAAGUACAAUGUUAUAAUUUGUAUUUUUUUAUUGAACUAGGCAAUAUCCAUAAUGGAAAAACGGGAUUUGCUGACCUAGUAGAUUUCAACCCUCUUCGUGCAACUGAUGUGCAACUGCCAGCUGACGGAACUUUUCUAAUUGCUCAUUCAUUGGCUGAAUCACAGAAAGUUGUAACUGCUGCAACAAACUACAAUAAUCGUGUUGUUGAAUGUUGUUUAGCUUCUGUAAGAUUAAAGAAAAGUCUUUUUUUCAUUAUUUUUGUGUUGCUUCAAUGGUUUGAUUGGUUUGAUGGAAUGGAAUGACCCAUUACAUUCUGUUCAACAAAACAAAUAGUUUCUUUUCUUCAUUCCAGUAGAAUGAAUCAUUCCAUUCCUUUUCCAAUUUCAUUGUUGUAUGUCCCUAAAUCCUCCAUAACAAAUGGGGCCUAUGUGGCAAGUAGUCGACUAAUAUUCUAUAUUUACCUCUCUUACAUUCUAAUUUUUCUUUUCACUUUCCACCUAUUUUCCUAAUAAUCAUUCUAUUUUUGAAAACUCUAUAUUUAUUUAUUUAUUCAUUUAUUUAUUUUUUGCAGAUUUUAUUGGGCAUAAAACUCGGAAUGGAACUUGAAGAGGCAAUUUCAAAAGUGAAAACCAUUUCUGAUGUAGAAGCUUUAUGUGCAUCCUUUUUUGGGGCCCAUGGGUCUUCCAACCCUACCAUUGCUGUUAAGGUAUUCAUUCGGCUACCAAAAAUGAUGACAUGGCACGAGUGUCGCCACGUCAUCAUCUAACUCCUAUAAUAUAUUUAUAUUCGACGUUUUGCUUUAAACGGUAAAAAACAUAUAACUUGGUUGCUAUCUUUGGUUAAAAAUAAAAAAAUAUCUGAAAGAGGAGCCUUAUACAUCUAAUGAAAUUGAGAUAAUCACCGGUAAAAGCUUAGAUUCCAUAAUUUUUUACUCUGCCACUUCACUGGAUGUGAUAAAAGCUGCCACACAUUACAAGUUAUUCCAGGUAACUUCACAAAAUACCAACCUACUUUCUCAUGUAUUCCAUCAGUUAAUUUUUUUUUUACUUUAAAAAACUUUCAUUUGUAAUUAUUUUUUGAAUCACUGUAUAGUUAACAUUUUUUUUUUUGUAAAUUUGUUCUAUCAGAGAGCCUUCCAUGUGUACUCGACAGCGAAACGUGUAUAUGCUUUCAAGGAUGUGGUGUCAUCAAAUUCUGAGUGAGUCUCACUAUUUUCUAUGAUUUUAUAUUUUUUUAUAAAUAAACUUUGUUUAUAUCUUUUUAAAGUCCGGAAUAUGGCUAAUAUUGGAAUUUGUUUUUGCAUUGAAUAGGAGAGGUUGAAGAACCUUGACGAUCUAAUGAAUGACAAUCACCAUAGUUGCAGUGUUCUAUUUGAGUGCAGGUUUAGGCUUUAUUUUUCCUUUCUAAUUUUUUUUCCUGUUACUCGGUUAUAUCGGUUUAAAUGUUGUUAACAAAAAGCAAAUUAUGGUUGUUACGGGAAGUUUCACCCUUUUUGAUGAUUGUAAUUUCAAUUUCAGAAUUUUAGAAAUUGUAUUUGUUGUGCUUUUUCCGGUUAUAUGUAAUUUGAAUUUCGUAUUGGGGGUUUUCCAAUCUCACAAACAAAUUUCUUCUGUCAACAUAUGAUAUUUAUUGUUUUGUUUGUGUAGAUGAAGUUUAGUUUCACCAACCGAUCUCAAGGGUUUGGAUUUGUUAUUUUUGUGAGUGAAUAAGUUAUUAAUGAAAUGUUAUCUAAUGUUAAGUUGCAUUGUUGAGCUACUGAAAAAUGACAAAAACUACAAAAAAAUCCAUACCCCGCGUAGCGGGGGUUCCCACCUAGUUUGAGAUCAUUACAACAUUAACAGAAGAAGGAAAUAUUGAAACAACAUUUCAUUACAAAAAUGAAAAUUAGUCUUCUUCAAUGCCAAGAAAAAAAACUCAGGCACAUAACACAAAUUACAGGAAAUUACGGAAGAGUCACAAGAACCCUAAUAAUCAUAAAAUUUCAUUUUUAAUUUAGAAAAAAGGGUAGAAGAAUAUCUGAAAAAGUAUCAAAAUAUAACCUUUCUUUUUCUUCUUUUAUACCUUCUAAUUAUUUACUACAGUGGCAUGCAUAAAGGAAGAGCAACAAGAAAAGUACACAGCUUAAUCAAAUUACCGGAGUCGGAGAAGGCGUCGGAGGCUCGCAGUAGCUCCGGCAUCGACACCAGAUCCUGAUGCGGCCGCCUCCGUGUUGUAACUGAGCUGUGGCCGGAGCGAAAAAUUAGGCAAAGGCAAGCUGGUUGGAGGCGGAGAAGGAGUAAACACAACAGAACCUAAAAACUUAUAAUCAGGAAGAGAAACAAUUUCACAGGAGUUGGUAAGCGAGGAUGAGAAAACCCUAGAAAUAACCAAUCUGAAAUCGGAAAUCAGAAAUAGGAAAAUCAGUUUAACUUACACCUUUCUUCAGUAGCCUCCGAUUAGCCUCUCUGGUGGUGCAUCAGCAGCCGACCUACCUGUUUUUUGUUCCCGUCAACACACAUCAACAUAGAGGAAUCGAGAACCGGUAUCCCUUUUAAUGACCACCUUCAAAUAACCAAUCUGAAAUCGGAAAUCAUAAAUAGGAAAAUUAGUUUAGCUUACACCUUUCUCCGGUAGCCUCCGAUUAGCCUCUCCGGUGGUGCAUCAACGACCGACCUCCCUGUUUUUUGUUCCCGUCAACACACAUCAACAUAGAGGAAUCGAGAAUUGGUAUCCCUUUGCAUCAUUACUUUUGAGCUGUACAAUUUUUUUCCUUUAUGGCCGAUGUAUCACAACACCAGAGAACCGACAACUGGUGAGAAGUUGUGUCAACGACUCUGCGAAGUGAAGAAGAGGAGGAUCACCCCCCUGCACGUUUGCCUUAUGGAGCAAUAACGGUGUUCAUGAUUUCAUGUGGUGGUACCGAGGAAGCGAGGGCGAGAGGAGCCAAAUUGAUAAUGAAGGAAUAAAAAUUAGAGAAGUUGGCGACUAACGGAUAGGAAAGAAGAGUCUGUGUAUAUGGGUGGUGGGUUUAACAGAGGUAGUGAAAAAGGAGUUGUGGCGGUUAUUUGUUUAGAUUGGCGGGGGAAGUGAGAUGAAGAAGAAACAAAGGGACACGUAUGGA
rnacentral:lncRNA from 1 species